AGAAUGGGGAGUGAUUCCUAAUGGGUACAGGGUUUCUAUUAGGUGUGAUAAUGUUCUGGAAUUGGACAGUGGUGACAAACUUGUGAAUAAAAAUUUACACAGAGAUAAAAGAAUGGAAGGAUAUAGGAUGAAUGUAAUCUUUUAUAAAAAGUCAGAAAAUCUAAAUAAAAACAAGUUAUGAUAUUAUUUUCUUUCCUGGAUCAUUAAGUGCUUAAAUAGAUGCAAUACCCGGAAACCACAAUAUAUAAAGUGGCUCACCCUAUCAAAAAUUUAUUAUUAUAAUGCUAAAAUAAUGCUCUUCAUGUAUCCUGGUAUGUAUGGUACAUGUCUCUCAUUAUAACAUGUGAUACUGGUGUUGUUUCUCAUCCAACAUUAACAUCCUAAGGAAGUUCUGUGGUUAAUACCAUGGAAGCUCUGUUAGAAAUUUCUCUACACCAGGACUUAUUUGGGGUAAGUUGAUAAGACAUACUUAAAAUUUAUUCCUCAUAUCCUACCUGAAAUCAGAGUUGAAUGGUGAAAAAAAGGAAGACUAGAUAAAAACCUAUGCUUAUUUGUUAGAUUGUUAAACUCUAAUUCACCAGUCAGCAAAAUGCUCUCACCGUUUGGUCUUUAUAAAGUUCCUUGAUACAUUGAAGUACACUUCUAUCGCUAAUGUAUUUUGUCUGCCCCUGUCUCAUUUCUCUUUCUUGGGUAAAGAACGUGCCCACCUGGCCAUCGGGAUAAGCAGGUGACCCAGCCUGGCCAAGGAGAGCCCCGUCCUAGGAUGGACACGCAGAACAAAGCUCUCCUUCUACCUAGUUGCUGGCUGCCGUCUUCUCUGCUGUGAAGGGAAGGCCUUUUCGCAGUCGGAGGGAACGAAGUGGACAGUCAGAAGGAGGUAGAGACAGGGAGAGGUGAGAGCUGAAGGGAGAGUUCUAAUCCUGUCCCCUUCUAAGCUCUUAAUGUAAGCAUUUAGAACGAUACAUUUUCCUCUAAAGAUGCUUUAGCGCCCUGUGUCUCCCCCUGCACUGUAGGUUGAGCUGUGACCGGUAGCACAUGGCAGAAGUGAUGGCAUGUCAUUUCUGACAUUAGGUUAUGAAAAGAUUCCAUCUUGCCAUCUCCCUCUUUCUCUGAUCCCUCGCUCUGGGGAAGCCAGCUCCCAUGUCCUGCGAGAAGGCUCACGGCAAGCCCCAUGUGGCCAGGAACCGAAGCCUCCUGCCCACAGCCUCGGGAGGGAGCCUGGAGGCAGGUUCUCCUGCCCCUCCAGAUGACGGCAGCCCUUGCUGACUACUUGAGGGCCACCUGCUGCGAGACUGAGCCACCAGCAUCCAGAUGAGCCACUUCCUGAUCCUCAGAAACUUUUACUCCUUUUUGUCUGGCGUGAACAAUCAGUGAAACUUUCUCCAGAAAAGGUGUUUUUCUAAGGUGUUCCAUUCUUAUUGGGAUGAUUAAGGGCAACUGGAGACCAGAAAUGAGCAGGAGGGCGGCUCUGUGCCCUUGCAGUGGAGCUCACUGGGAGGCGGCAUCUAGAAUUCGCAGGAUGCAUGGAAGGUAUAAAUGCAAAUGUGCAAAAAAGGAACACGGAGAGGAAGAAGGAAAGAAGGACCAAGUUCACCUGUAUGGCAGCUAUGAGCUCCACGACUCCAGUGGACAGUGAACCUGACGCACCACAGAAUGUAGCAAAUUUCCAUUGCUUAAUAAUGUUUCAAAUUUUCCUUUUUAAAAUAAAUCUACGGUCUGUAAAAGAGU